GCCUCAAAAGCGGCUCCUGCGAACCGGACCUGUUCACUGCACUGGUCCUUCCACCCCUCCAACUCCAUAUGGACAGGGAAGGGCUGCCCACUCCCAAUCUCUGUCUGGGGCACUUGGCAGGAACGGCGAGGUGUCCUCGAAGUCAGUGCCACAUUUAUCCCCUCCACUGAUGAACAGUUAGUAAGCAGCUGCAUUGAAGCAGGUCCCUGUUCUGUGCAGUGAAUGAAGGAAGAUGGUGGGCUCACUGUUCGGACUCAGCAAGGCAUCUCUGCAAGGAGUGGGUCCUGCAGGACAAAAGGAAAAUGAACUCAAGAAGCGUCAGACAGAAGGUGACAUCAAGGUAAAGGCCACAGCAGACUGUCCAAGUCCACUUAGGAUCAAACCUGAUCUUCCGCAAGUCCCACAGUUGGCAGCAUUUGGUGGGUCUGGCCUCAGCGCUGAGCGAGCUCCUGUUCAGUCACUAGUUCCCACAGGCUGGCAGGGCAGCCUGGUCUACACCACACCGGAGGAGAGAGCUGAC